GACGAACGCUGGCGGCGUGCUUAACACAUGCAAGUCGAACGGUGAAGCGCCUUCCUUUUUGGUGGGUGUGGAUGAGUGGCGAACGGGUGAGUAACACGUGAGUAACCUGCCCCCUUCUUCUGGAUAACCGCAUGAAAGUGUGGCUAAUACGGGAUAUUCUGGGUCUGUCGCAUGAUGGGUCUGGGAAAGAUAUUGUUUCGGUGGGGGAUGGGCUCGCGGCCUAUCAGCUUGUUGGUGGGGUGAUGGCCUACCAAGGCGGUGACGGGUAGCCGGCCUGAGAGGGUGGACGGUCACACUGGGACUGAGACACGGCCCAGACUCCUACGGGAGGCAGCAGUGGGGAAUAUUGCACAAUGGGCGCAAGCCUGAUGCAGCGACGCCGCGGGAGGGAUGGAGGCCUGCGGGUUGUGAACCUCUUUCGCCAGUGAAGCAGGCCUGCCUCGUUUGUGGGUGGGUUGACGGUAGCUGGAGAAGAAGCGCCGGCUAACUACGUG
rnacentral:rRNA from 1 species